GAUGAAGAACGUAGCAAAAUGCGAUAAGUAAUGUGAAUUGCAGAAUUCUGUGAAUCAUCGAAUCUUUGAACGCACAUUGCGCCCGCCAGUAUUCUGGCGGGCAUGCCUGUUCGAGCGUCAUUUCAACCCUCAAGCACAGCUUGGUGUUGGGACUCGCGUUAAUUCGCGUUCCCCAAAUUGAUUGGCGGUCACGUCGAGCUUCCAUAGCGUAGUAGUAAAACCCUCGUUACUGGUAAUCGUCGCGGCCACGCCGUUAAACCCCAACUUCUGAAUGUUGACCUCGGAUCAGGUAGGAAUACCCGCUGAACUUAAGCAUAUCAAUAAGCGGAGGA
rnacentral:misc_RNA from 1 species